rnacentral:rRNA from 1 species
UUCCAGACUCCUACGGGAGGCAGCAGUGGGGAAUAUUGGACAAUGGGGGGAACCCUGAUCCAGCGACGCCGCGUGAGUGAAGAAGUAUUUCGGUAUGUAAAGCUCUAUCAGCAGGGAAGAAAGGAAUGACGGUACCUGACUAAGAAGCCCCGGCUAACUACGUGCCAGCAGCCGCGGUAAUACGUAGGGGGCAAGCGUUAUCCGGAUUUACUGGGUGUAAAGGGAGCGUAGACGGUUACGCAAGUCUGGAGUGAAAGGCGGGGGCCCAACCCCCGGACUGCUUUGGAAACUGUAUAACUGGAGUGCAGGAGAGGUAAGUGGAAUUCCUAGUGUAGCGGUGAAAUGCGUAGAUAUUAGGAGGAACACCAGUGGCGAAGGCGACUUUCUGGACUGUACCUGACGCUGAGGCGCGAAAGCGUGGGUAGCGAACGGGAUUAGAUACCCCAGUA